AGUGAACGCUGGCGGCAGGCCUAACACAUGCAAGUCGAACGGCAGCACAGUGGAGCUUGCUCCAUGGGUGGCGAGUGGCGGACGGGUGAGGAAUACAUCGGAAUCUGCCCAGUCGUGGGGGAUAACAUAGGGAAACUUAUGCUAAUACCGCAUACGACCUACGGGUGAAAGCGGGGGAUCGCAAGACCUCGCGCGAUUGGAUGAGCCGAUGUCCGAUUAGCUAGUUGGCGGGGUAAUGGCCCACCAAGGCGACGAUCGGUAGCUGGUCUGAGAGAAUGAUCAGCCACACGGGAACUGAGACACGGUCCAGACUCCGACGGGAGGCAGCAGUGGGGAAUAUUGGACAAUGGGCGCAAGCCUGAUCCAGCCAUGCCGCGUGGGUGAAGAAGGCCUUCGGGUUGUAAAGCCCUUUUGUCCGGAAAGAAACGCCUCGGAUUAAUACUCUGGGGUAAUGACGGUACCGGAAGAAUAAGCACCGGCUAACUUCGUGCCAGCCGCCGCCGUAACAC
rnacentral:rRNA from 1 species